GGAGGGACAAGGGUCAUUAGUCCACAUGGGAGCUGGCUGAGGCUGAUGCCCAGGGAUAGGGGAGCUGAGUGGGUGCAGGCCCAGGAAGUGAGCAAUUGCCAGUGACACCGGGUGAAGGGACAGGAAGUGAGCAAUUGCCAGUGACACCGGGUGAAGGGACAGGUGGAGGAGGAGUUGUGAGCUCAGCUGCACAGGACAUUACUCCAAAUGGGGCUGAGGAGAAGGGGGACCCCCAUACUCCCCACCUCCCAAUGCUGAGGCAUGUGGGUAGGGGGCUACCCAGGAGGGCUUCAGGGAAAAAGUGUUCUGAAGGAAGAGGCAGGAGGGUGGUGAAGGGGACAUUUGGGGGCCACCCCUUCUCCAGCUGGCAAAAUUGUCCUGUCCCUGCUGGGUGCGGUGGCUCAUGCCUGUAAUCCCAGCACCUGGGGAGGCUGAAGCGGGAGGAUCACUUGAGGUCAGGAGUUUGAGACCAGCUUGGGCCACACGGUGAAACCCGCACCCCACCCCCCACCCCGCCCAAUCUCUUCUAAAAAUACAAAAAUCAGCUGGGCAUGGUGGUGCACUCCUGUAAUCCCAGCUACUCGGGAGGCUGAGAGAUGAGAAUCACUUGAACCCAGGAGGCGGAGAUUGCAGUGAGCCGAGAUCGUGCCAUUGUACCCCAGCCUGGGCGACAGAGCAAGACUCCAUCUCAAAAAAAAAAAAAAAAAAAAAAUUUGCCCUGUCCCCUGAGACUCAGAGGUCAGCCCCUGCAGAGUCCCUUCUGCACACCCCCAGCCCCACCCCAGCCUUAGCAGCCCUCUGUCUGGGCAGGACUUUGUGGCCCUCUCUCCAGUCUGGAGACCAGAAGGCCAGGAAGGGAGGCCAGGCAUGGUGGCUUAUGCUUGUAAUUUCAGCACUUUGGGAGGCCAAGGUGGGAGCAUCUCUUGAGCUCAGGAGUUCCAAACUAGCCUGGGCAACAUGGCGAGACCCCAUCUCUACAAAAAAUAAAAAAAUUAGCUGGGUGGUGGCACAUACCUAUAAUCCCAGCUACUUGGGAGGCUGAGGUGGGAGGAUUGCUUGAACCCAGGGGUUCAAGGCUGCAGUGAGCUAUGAUCGUGCCACUGCACUCAAGCCUGGGUGACAGAGACCCUGCCUCUACAAAAAAAAAGAAAGUUAGCUAGGUGCCUGUAGUGCCUGUAAUCCCAGCACUUUGGGAGGCCAAGGUGGGAGGAUCGCCUGAGCCCAGGAGUUCAGUGCUACAGUGAGCUAUGAAGACGCCACCAUACCCCAGCCUGGGCAACAAAGUGAGACCCCAUCUCUAAAAAAGGAAAAAAAAAAAAAGAAAGAAACAAAAGAAAGAACAGGAAGGAUCUAAUUCCACUGGAUCAGCAUGAAAGCGGCGUGUGCCUCCGUAUGUCCAUUUCGCUUUCUCUGUCCUGCUCUGACCCAGCAGAUUGGCCUCCAGGGACUGCACCACUGAGACCCCACACUCUCUUGCUUCUCGUGAGGUGUGGCCAGUGGAGGCACUGGCAUGAGAUCAGGGGGCGGGAAGACAGAGCCCAGUUCCCUCUGGUGGCUUCAUCCUUUCACCUACAGCCCCUGCUCCUGCGGGGCCCCUCACCCAUGGCUACUGCCUGCUGAUCGGGAAACAUCACUCCCUCCCUCCCAUCAGCAAUCAGAUCCAGGAGUGCUUAGGGCCCCAUUACAGCCAAGUCCCAGGUCACCCUCUCUGGUCCAUUCCCCUAAUGCUGCCCACACCUUUGUAAACGCUCUCAAUUGCCCUGUGAGACAGCGUACCAUCUGUUUCCUGCCAGGGCCCGACGCAUACAGGGUGUGGGCAAGGGUUUGUGAAAUGCAGGGUCUUAGAGUUCACCCAGUUCACCUUCCCUUUUAAAAAUGUUUCACUUUAGAGACAGGCUCUUGCUCUGUCACAGAGGCUGGUGUCCAGGGGUGCCAUCAUAGCUCACUGCAGCCUCCAACUCCUGGGCUCAAGCGAUCCUCCCACCUCAGCCUCCAUAGUAGCUGGGACUGCAGGUUCACACUACCAUGUCUGGCUAAUUUUUCUUUUGUUUUGUUUUGAGACAGUCUUGUUCUCUGUCACCCAGGCUGGAGUGCAGUGGCAUGAUCUGGGCUCACUGAAACCUCCUUCACCUGGGUUCAAGUGAUUCUCCUGCCUCAGCCUCCACAGUAGCAGGGAUUACAGGCAUGCACCACCAUGGCUGGCUAAUUUUUGUAUUUUGUAUAGAGACGGGUUUUCACCAUGUUGGCCAGGUUGGUCUCAAACUCCUGACCUCAGGUGAUCCUCCUGCUUCUGCCUCCCAAAAUGCUGGGAUUCCAAGUGUGAGCCACCACGCCUGGCCUUAACCACCAUGCCCGGCCUUAAUUUUUGUAUUUAUGUUUUGUAGAGAUGGGGUGUUGCUAUGUUGCCCAGGCUGGACUUGAACUCUUGGUCUCAAGCAAUCCUCCCACCUCGGCCUCCCAAAGCACUAGGAUUAGAGGUGUGAGCCAUCUGCACCUGGCCUAACCAUUGCUUUUUAUGUAAGGGGAAACUGAGGCCCAGAGAGUGUGAGUGAUCUGUCUUGGGUCACUCAGCCCCAGGGUUGGGGCUCAUAGCUGUUCUGAAAAGGUUCUGGAGAGGCCAGGGCUUAUCUCACAGAGGUUGGCAGCCUGUCUGCCCCAUCCCCUGCCUGCCUCUCCCAGCCUGGUAGCUUCAAGAUCAUUUGAGCAUUUCCUCCACAGCAGGAGCCGGAUGCAUCUGCUCCACCUAAUAACCCCAUUAGGGCCAUUUGCGCCUCUCAGGGGCAGGCGCCUGGGAACCCAGCCAGCGCCCUCCUCCCUGACCUCUUGCCCCAGAGGGCAGGGCCCCUCCACAUGGCACAGGGUGUCUUCCGGUCUCCUCUCCAUCCCUCACCCUCCCCUACCUGCCCAUCAGCAACACAUUGCUCCUCCUGCCUGGCACCCUUCCAAGGUCCACCUGGCCCAAGUGUCCUGCUCCUUCUUCAAAGCCACCCCUCCCCAAGAUGCUGCCUCUGAAGCUCCAACAGUCCAUCUCCCUGACAGUUGUGUCCUCUCCUUCUCUCGUAUGUGGUAGUAUCACUGUCUUCCCCCUAAAGCAGUGGGCACCUUGAGGGCAGAACCUUGCCGCGGGCAUCUCUGGCCCCUGGGGUCCGAGCACUGAGCGGGAAUCCUGAUGAUAAGUGUUGCAUGAGCUGGGCACAGUGGCUCACGCCUGUAAUCCCAGCAGGAGGAUCACUUGAGACCAGGAGUUCGAGACCAGCCUGAGCAACAUAGUGAGACCCCGUCUCUAAAGAAAUUUAAAAAAUUAGCCAGACAUAGUGCCAUGUACCUAUAGUCCAAGCUACUUAGGAGGCUGAGGCGGAAGGAUCGCUUGCACCCAGGAGUUUGAGGCUGCAAUGAGCUAUGAUCACACCACUGUUCUUUCCAGCCUGGGCAACAGAGUGAGAUUCCAUGUCUACAAAAAAAUUAAAAAUUAGCCGGACGUGGUGUCAUGUGCCUGUAGUCCCAGCUACUCUCAGGAGGCUGAGGUGGGAGGAUCACCGGAGCCCAGGAAUUAGAGACUGCAGUGAGCUAUGAUGGUGCCACUGCACUCCAGCCUGGGCUAUAAG
rnacentral:lncRNA from 1 species